GCGAUGAGGGCUGGGGGUGAUUAGGUUCCCUUAAUGUAAAAUGAACAUAAAGAAUUCACAGCGCGAACGAUCAACUCAAUUGUUGUUGCCUCUUGUUACGUUCGAUGAAAGACCUGCUAGAUACACGAGUCAAUCAAACACGCCAAGUAGAAGCCGCGCAGAGCAAGGAUCCGAAAAUGGACGAAAUAACGAGCCUGUUUGCAACAGAUAGGCAGCAACGUACAGUAACAAUGACUGGAAAGGAAAUGAAGACCAGGGCAAUAAAGACUUGAACUUGAACCAGCUCCUGCCGACCAGCGAACCAGCCACUCCCCCCAGCAGAGUCCCACUCUGGUCGAGUUACACUGAAUGUCAUGAGAGCAGCUUUAAGUAAAUUAACUACAUCCUGAUUAUCCUCAAUAAUCCUGUUGCGUUAAUCCCACGCCUGCCCCUCACACACACACACACACACACACAAACACACACACUCUAACACAGACACAGACAAAACCACACAUGUUUACACACACAAAUCCAACCAGACACACACAUACAAUCUUCAUGACCUAAUUAUUUCAACACACAUCCCAAUCAUUUUGCACAAAAACAAUGUCACAUAGAUAUUAUGGGUUUGCAUCACCUUUAUUAAAAUGAUGUCCCAUGGACAUGGACAAUCUCUGGCCAGAAUGGAAAUCAAGAUAAAAAAAAAAACUAAUCAGUAUUAAAGGCUACAUCUUUGAUAGGUCAAACAGAGGUGUUUAAUACUUUUAUUGAUCCUGUAACUCAUAGACUCAUAAC